GACGAACGCUGGCGGCGUGCCUAAUACAUGCAAGUUGAGCGCUGAAGGUUGGUACUUGUACCAACUGGAUGAGCAGCGAACGGGUGAGUAACGCGUGGGGAAUCUGCCUUUGAGCGGGGGACAACAUUUGGAAACGAAUGCUAAUACCGCAUAAAAACUUUAAACACAAGUUUUAAGUUUGAAAGAUGCAAUUGCAUCACUCAAAGAUGAUCCCGCGUUGUAUUAGCUAGUUGGUGAGGUAAAGGCUCACCAAGGCGAUGAUACAUAGCCGACCUGAGAGGGUGAUCGGCCACAAUGGGACUGAGACACGGCCCAAACUCCUACGGGAGGCAGCAGUAGGGAAUCUUCGGCAAUGGACGAAAGUCUGACCGAGCAACGCCGCGUGAGUGAAGAAGGGUUUCGGAUCGUAAAACUCUGUUGGUAGAGAAGAACGUUGGUGAGAGUGGAAAGCUCAUCAAGUGACGGUAACUACCCAGAAAGGGACGGCUAACUACGUG
rnacentral:rRNA from 1 species